UCAGUAACCCAUGCUUAUCGUAAGAAGCGACUGACGGGAACUGGUGGUCAGGCUCGCUGACUUCGUUGGCACAUGCCAUCGGUUCCCAAUUGCGCGGAUCGAUGCUCAUGCUGUUGAUC